GAGAGUCUCCACUCCUACAUGGGUUCGGUUCUAUUAAAACUUACUGAUUUACCUUUUCGCGGAUUCGGAUCCCCAAUAGUAGUUGACCCGUUACCACGCUUCCUCAAGUUGCAGCAGAUGAGGAAAGGCGGUUUCCCGGGCGGCGCCCUUCCCACCUUCGUCGCGCAAGGGUUUAUCGGCGGUUAUCCCGCACCCUACUCCCGGCCGUGAAACCCUUAUAAAACCCUCACCCACCCUUCUCUUCCUCCAAUCAGACCCUCCCAAAACCCUCUCCGCCCCUUGAAUCGAUUCACUCCCGGAUCCGGCCGCCAUGCCGAAGGUCUACGGCACCGGGACCUACGACUUCUUCCGUCGAGCCCGGCCAGUGGCCGGCGGCGGAGACGCUUCCGGAGAACCCGCCGGAGCAGCGGCCGGGAGGGAACCUCUCGAACACCAUCACCCUGCUUGAGAUCCAGCGGGACCGGCUCACCAAGAUCGCGGCGGCCAACUGGCUGAAGACCGCCGGGGCGGAUGCCUCGGCCCGGAAGUUCGAUCCAGAGAUGGUGAGGGAGAUCUACGAGACGGAGCUUUUGGUCUCCGGGGGCCGGAAGAUGGUCCCCCUCCAGAGGGUCAUGAUUCUGGAGGUGAGCCAGUAAUUGGAGAACUAUCUGUGGCCUAAUUUCGAUCCGGAGACUGCUACAUUUUAGCAUGUCAUGUCGAUGAUCCUCAUGGUUAAUGAGAAGCGGACAAACAUGCCUGACCUCCUGGAAGUGGUGGAUUUCAAAGACACAUUUCUUGAUGCAAACCAUUUGAGAGACAGCUUUCCAGAUUUUCUGCAUGUUUAGGUUUUGCUUUGUUAAUCCAGAUGGUACAAAGGACUCGAAUCCUAGUCCUCCAUUCCGGGUUAAGCUUCUCAAAACAAUGAAGGGCAACAAUCAUGCUCUUCCAGGCAAUAAGGAGUCUAGCAAUAUGUCUGGCUUGAAUGAUGAAAAUAUGGCCAACCAAGGUUCUGAAAAGGAAAAGAUUUUUGUUGCGGCAUAUGUUCCUGCCGAUCGUGGGACUUAUCCCCAAGAUCAACCAAAGCAAAAUUCAGUUAGAUUUACACCAAUGCAGAUUGGAGCAAUUAUUUCAGGUAUGCAGCCUGGGUUGACAAUGGUUGUUGGUCCACCUGAUACAGGAAAGACAGAUACAGCUGUGCAAAUUUUGAAUGUUCUUUAUCAUAAUUGCCCUUCACAGAGAAUGUUAAUUAUCACCCAUUCCAAUCAGGCUUUAAAUGAUCUUUUCGAGAAAAUAAUGCAGGUAUACCUAUCAUGUCUCUUUGGAGAUUAUUGUUGUAUGGGACGGUAGUUUCUCUUUGAAAAAGAUAGUGAAAUUUGAGGUUCUGAUGGUUACAACACAUAGUUGAUGGUCAAAGAAGGCAUUGUUGUAACUAAGAACUUUUUCUCUAUUGAUUCAUAUGUAUUUUAGGUAAUAAACAAACACUAUAUGUCUGAAUCAUUUAAGGACAAGUUUAUAUUAAAAUACAUAUUUAGUCUGGGUAA